rnacentral:miRNA from 1 species
AAGGCGCGAUACAUCUUAAAGGC